rnacentral:lncRNA from 1 species
AACAAGAUUGUGUCACAUGACGAUGCUCAACAAGGUUCAAUGGUUAAAUGAAGGAAGAAAACAAGAGGACUUUGGCAUAAGAUGCACAGCGAAGAAGAAAUAUAUAUGCUGGGCUUGCUGAAGAAGCUGUAAAAGCGAAAACAGAGCCCCAAAGGUGAUGACAACAGGUGCAAGUGUGACAUGGAGCAACAUGAAUUCAACCAGGGCAACAGAGGUAAUAUACUUUGCUCUCUGUGAAGCCCUUUGACUUGAAGAAAUAGUGAUCUAAGAUAAUGUCCUGCCAUCCAGAAGAAUUGUAGGCACGGGAGAGAUUGAAAUUGGUACUAAAAUAAAUUCUGAAGCCAAGAUAACAACAACAACAACAACAAAGAUAUCAGAUCUAAUAUCCCACCCAAUUUCUGAGUUAAGCCAGUGACAGGUAUAUUUCGAAGCAAGACUAUUUAGACACAUUGAUUUUUGUUGUCACUUUCUUCUUAUUUCAUAUGUCACAUCAAGGCUUGGAAAUCGGAUGAAUGUAAGAAGGGUCCGCUGAUCACUGUUCCUCAGGAGGAAUUUUCAAAGUCAGCUAGCUGUGCUUGAUGAAAGUGGUCCUGCAUAGAGCUCCACUCUGCCUGCAGGGAAGUUUAGGCAAACUACACUUUACCACUUCACUCCUAUUACUAGGAUUCUUGGUUGUCAAGGAGGCAUCUAUUUAACUGAAGUCUGGUAAAUCUCAAAAGUAAAGUAUUAGGGAGGAAAAAAAGCUUAAAUCAUCUUUUUUCCUCUUACUUCAAAGUCCUUUUAAAUGAACAUGCAACUCCAAUUCUGGUAAACAAAUUUUAUGAAGUAAGUCGUGCAGGUAAUGCGUUCUUCAAUUGUAUGCUUCCAGGAUAACAUGUUGACAUCCAAUCUUUGUGUUUUGAAGAGUUUGUAAUAAUAAAUAGAAAUCAAUGCUGGAGAGUGAAGGGUGCAUCAAUUAUAUUUCUUUUAUCUCAAAGAUUCUUUCCAUGUUGUAUCUAUCCUUCCUCGUGAAAUUUUUUUCACAUUGUAAAGUGUACUGUAGCUUAAUUGGCAACAUAGAUGCUGAGUGCUGAUCAAGUCUAAAUUAUAUUUGACAGAAAUGAAACUGGCUUUAUUUUAUGUGAAAUAUAAAAUAUUAUCAUGGUCCUUGAGUUUGAAAAGGGAGAUUGUGCGUGUGUGUGUG